AACGAACGCUGGCGGCAUGCCUAACACAUGCAAGUCGAACGAGACCUUCGGGUCUAGUGGCGCACGGGUGCGUAACGCGGGGGAACCUGCCCUUAGGUUCGGAAUAACUCCCCGAAAGGGGUGCUAAUACCGGAUAAUGUCUUCGGACCAAAGAUUUAUCGCCUUUGGAUGGGCCCGCGUUGGAUUAGCUAGUUGGUAGGGUAAAAGCCUACCAAGGCGACGAUCCAUAGCUGGUCUGAGAGGAUGAUCAGCCACACUGGGACUGAGACACGGCCCAGACUCCUACGGGAGGCAGCAGAGGGGAAUAUUGGAAAAUGGGCGAAAGCCUGAUCCAGCAAUGCCGCGUGAGUGAUGAAGGCCUUAGGGUUGUAAAGCUCUUUUACCCGGGAUGAUAAUGACAGUACCGGGAGAAUAAGCUCCGGCUAACUCCGUG
rnacentral:rRNA from 1 species